rnacentral:rRNA from 1 species
ACGAACGCUGGCGGCGUGGAUAAGACAUGCAAGUCGAACGGGAGAAUUGCUAGCUUGCUAAUAAUUCUCUAGUGGCGCACGGGUGAGUAACACGUGAGUAACCUGCCUCUUAGUGGGGGAUAGCCCUGGGAAACCGGGAUUAAUACCGCAUACGAUUGAAAGAUCAAAGCAGCAAUGCGCUAGGAGAUGGGCUCGCGGCCUAUUAGUUAGUUGGUGAGGUAACGGCUCACCAAGGCGAUGACGGGUAGCCGGUCUGAGAGGAUGUCCGGCCACACUGGAACUGAGACACGGUCCAGACACCUACGGGUGGCAGCAGUCGAGAAUCAUUCACAAUGGGGGCAACCCUGAUGGUGCGACGCCGCGUGGGGGAAUGAAGGUCUUCGGAUUGUAAACCCCUGUCAUGUGGGAGCAAAUUAAAAAGAUAGUACCACAAGAGGAAGAGACGGCUAACUCUGUGCCAGCAGCCGCGGUAAUACAGAGGUCUCAAGCGUUGUUCGGAAUCACUGGGCGUAAAGCGUGCGUAGGCUGUUUCGUAAGUCGUGUGUGAAAGGCAGGGGCUCAACCCCUGGAUUGCACAUGAUACUGCGAGACUAGAGUAAUGGAGGGGGAACCGGAAUUCUCGGUGUAGCAGUGAAAUGCGUAGAUAUCGAGAGGAACACUCGUGGCGAAGGCGGGUUCCUGGACAUUAACUGACGCUGAGGCACGAAGGACAGGGGAGCGAAAGGGAAGAGAUACCCCUGUAGUCCUGGCAGUAAACGGUGCACGCUUGGUGUGCGGGGAAUCGACCCCCUGCGUGCCGGAGCUAACGCGUUAAGCGUGCCGCCUGGGGAGUACGGUCGCAAGAUUAAAACUCAAAGAAAUUGACGGGGACCCGCACAAGCGGUGGAGUAUGUGGCUUAAUUCGAUGCAACGCGAAGAACCUUACCUGGGCUUGACAUGUAAUGAACAACAUGUGAAAGCAUGCGACUCUUCGGAGGCGUUACACAGGUGCUGCAUGGCCGUCGUCAGCUCGUGUCGUGAGAUGUUUGGUUAAGUCCAGCAACGAGCGCAACCCCUGUUGCCAGUUACCAGCACGUCAAGGUGGGGACUCUGGCGAGACUGCCCAGAUCAACUGGGAGGAAGGUGGGGACGACGUCAGGUCAGUAUGGCCCUUAUGCCCAGGGCUGCACACGUACUACAAUGCCCAGUACAGAGGGGGCCGAAGCCGCGAGGCGGAGGAAAUCCUGAAAACUGGGCCCAGUUCGGACUGUAGGCUGCAACCCGCCUACACGAAGCCGGAAUCGCUAGUAAUGGCGCAUCAGCUACGGCGCCGUGAAUACGUUCCCGGGUCUUGUACACACCGCCCGUCACAUCAUGGAAGCCGGUCGCACCCGAAGUAUCUGAAGCCAACCGCAAGGAGGCAGGGUCCUAAGGUGAGACUGGUAACUGGGAUG